GUGAGGGAUAUUGGUCAAUGGGCGCAAGCCUGAACCAGCGACGCCGCGUGGGUGAAGAAGGUCUUCGGAUCGUAAAGCCCUUUUCCCACUGAAGAGGAAGGACGGUAGGUGGGGAAGAAGUCUCGGCUAACUACGUGCCAGCAGCCGCGGUAAAACGUAGGAGACAAGCGUUAUCCGGAGUUACUGGGCGUAAAGGGCGUGCAGGUGGCGUCUUAAGUCUGUUGUGAAAGCGCCUGGCUUAACCGGGCGAGGCCAAUGGAGACUGAGAGGCUGGAGGACGGCGGAGGGGUGUGGAAUUCCGGGUGUAGUGGUGAAAUGCGUAGAGAUCCGGAGGAGCACCAGAGGCGAAGGCGGCACUCUAAGCCGUACCUGACACUGAGACGCGACAGCACGGGGAGCAAACG
rnacentral:rRNA from 1 species